UACGUAGGUGGCAAGCGUUGUCCGGAUUUAUUGGGCGUAAAGCGCGCGCAGGUGGUGCGGUAAGUCUGCCGUGAAAUCUCCCGGCUCAACUGGGAGGGGGCGGUGGAGACUGCCGGACUGGAGGGACCUAGAGGCCGGUGGAAUUCCCGGUGGAGUGGUGAAAUGCGUAGAGAUCGGGAGGAACACCAGUGGCGAAGGCGGCCGGCUGGGGGUG
rnacentral:rRNA from 1 species